UACGGAGGGUGCAAGCGUUAAUCGGAAUUACUGGGCGUAAAGCGCGCGUAGGCGGUUUUUUAAGUCGGAUGUGAAAGCCCCGGGCUCAACCUGGGAACUGCAUCCGAUACUGGAUGACUAGAAUGCGGGAGAGGGAGGUAGAAUUCCAUGUGUAGCAGUGAAAUGCGUAGAUAUAUGGAGGAAUACCAGUGGCGAAGGCGGCCUCCUGGCUCGACAUUGACGCUGAGGUGCGAAAGCGUGGGGAGCAAACGGG
rnacentral:rRNA from 1 species